UGUGAGGAGGGGUUGGUGCGACCUAGGGGACUCUGAUGUGCCUUCCAUCGUGACCAGCCCGCGAGCAGCAGGGCUGCGGGAGCCUCUCGGGAGCGUUUGUGAAGAGGUGGUGAUUCCUCCGUGGGCAGCCUGCUUCUUAGAGCCUGAGAGCUGUUCCGCCCCCUCCACGGAAGAGCCUGCUGCAGCCUCUGGGAAGACUGAUGCGCGUGCGGGAGGGGGUGUCCUGCUGGGCCCUGGGGGACCGGACACGAGCUGCCACUCUCGAGGUGCCCGGGCGGUGGAGGGCGAAGCAUUUUGAUGGCAUAUUGAGGACUCGCGGGAGGCUCAUCUUCCUUGUCUUCAUCUCUCUGAGCCUCAUACAGGACUGGACACCAAAAGGGCCCUGUAAACCCUGCCUCCUUGACCAACUAGAAGUCGGGGCUACAAAUGACCAUUCCUUCUUAUUCAAAAGUUUUACGAGAUUAGGACACAGACACAAACAGAGGAAAGCCCAC